rnacentral:misc_RNA from 1 species
ACACCCUCAAGCUCUGCUUGGUGUUGGGCGUUUGUCCCGCCUUCGUGCGCGGACUCGCCUCAAAGUCAUUGGCAGCGGUCUCGUCGGCUUCUCGCGCAGCACAUUUGCGCUUCUCGGAGCCCCGGCGGAUCAGCGUCCAGUAAGCAACUUCAUG